rnacentral:rRNA from 1 species
GACGAACGCUGGCGGCGUGCCUAAUGCAUGCAAGUCGAACGCAGCGAGCUUGCUCGGCUGCGUGGCGCACGGCUGAGGAACACGUGGGUACCAACCCUAGAGUGGGGGAUACGCCAGCGAAAGCUGGGACAAUCCCGCAUACGUUCGCAAGAAGAAAGCCUUCGGGCGCUCCGGGACGGGCCUGCGGCCCAUCAGGUAGUUGGUGUGGUAAUGGCGCACCAAGCCGGUGACGGGUUCCUGGUCUGAGAGGACGACCAGGCAGACUGGGACUGAGACACGGCCCAGACUCCUACGGGAGGCAGCAGCAAGGAAUUUUCCCCAAUGGGCGCAAGCCUGAGGGAGCAACGCCGCGUGCAGGACGAC